rnacentral:rRNA from 1 species
AGAGUUUGAUCCUGGCUCAGGAUGAACGCUAGCGGCAGGCCUAACACAUGCAAGUCGAGGGGUAACAUAGAGUGCUUGCACUCUGAUGACGACCGGCGCACGGGUGAGUAACGCGUAUACAAUCUGCCUCAUACUAGGGGAUAGCCCAGAGAAAUUUGGAUUAAUACCCUAUAGUAUCAUUUAGAGUCAUCUCUUAAUGAUUAAAGGUUACGGUAUGAGAUGAGUAUGCGUUCUAUUAGUUAGUAGGUGAGGUAACGGCUCACCUAGACCACGAUAGAUAGGGGCCCUGAGAGGGGGAUCCCCCACACUGGUACUGAGACACGGACCAGACUCCUACGGGAGGCAGCAGUGAGGAAUAUUGGACAAUGGAGGAAACUCUGAUCCAGCCAUGCCGCGUGCAGGAUGACUGCCCUAUGGGUUGUAAACUGCUUUUAUACAGGAAGAAACACCUCUACGUGUAGAGGCUUGACGGUACUGUAAGAAUAAGGAUCGGCUAACUCCGUGCCAGCAGCCGCGGUAAUACGGAGGAUCCAAGCGUUAUCCGGAAUCAUUGGGUUUAAAGGGUCCGCAGGCGGUCUAAUAAGUCAGAGGUGAAAUCCUAUCGCUCAACGAUAGAACUGCCUUUGAUACUGUUAGACUUGAGUUAUUGUGAAGUAGUUAGAAUGUGUAGUGUAGCGGUGAAAUGCAUAGAUAUUACACAGAAUACCAAUUGCGAAGGCAGAUCACUAAUAAUGUACUGACACUGAUGGACGAAAGCGUGGGUAGCGAACAGGAUUAGAUACCCUGGUAGUCCACGCCGUAAACGAUGGUCACUAGCUGUUCGGACUUCGGUCUGAGUGGCUAAGCGAAAGUGAUAAGUGACCCACCUGGGGAGUACGUUCGCAAGAAUGAAACUCAAAGGAAUUGACGGGGGCCCGCACAAGCGGUGGAGCAUGUGGUUUAA